AGCGAACGCUGGCGGCAGGCUUAACACAUGCAAGUCGAACGCACCGCAAGGUGAGUGGCAGACGGGUGAGUAACACGUGGGAACGUGCCCUUCGGUUCGGGAUAACUCAGGGAAACUUGAGCUAAUACCGGAUACGCCCUUUUGGGGAAAGGUUUACUGCCGAAGGAUCGGCCCGCGUCUGAUUAGCUAGUUGGUGGGGUAAUGGCCUACCAAGGCGACGAUCAGUAGCUGGUCUGAGAGGANGAUCAGCCACACUGGGACUGAGACACGGCCCAGACUCCUACGGGAGGCAGCAGUGGGGAAUAUUGGACAAUGGGCGCAAGCCUGAUCCAGCCAUGCCGCGUGAGUGAU
rnacentral:rRNA from 1 species